AACGAACGCUGGCGGCAUGCCUAACACAUGCAAGUCGAACGAGACCUUCGGGUCUAGUGGCGCACGGGUGCGUAACGCGUGGGAACCUGCCCUUAGGUUCGGAAUAACUCCCCGAAAGGGGUGCUAAUACCGGAUAAUGUCUUCGGACCAAAGAUUUAUCGCCUUUGGAUGGGCCCGCGUUGGAUUAGCUAGUUGGUAGGGUAAAAGCCUACCAAGGCGACGAUCCAUAGCUGGUCUGAGAGGAUGAUCAGCCACACUGGGACUGAGACACGGCCCAGACGCCUACGGGAGGCAGCAGUGGGGAAGAUUGGACAAUGGGCGAAAGCCUGAUCCAGCAAGGCCGCGUGAGUGAUGAAGGCCUUAGGGUUGUAAAGCGCUUUUACCCGGGAUGAUAAUGACAGUACCGGGAGAAUAAGCUCCGGCGAACUCCGU
rnacentral:rRNA from 1 species